GCUUGUCUCAAAGAUUAAGCCAUGCAUGUCUAAGUACAAGCCUCAGUAAGGUGAAACCGCGAAUGGCUCAUUAAAUCACACCUAAUCUACUGGAAAGUUACUAGUUACUUGGAUAACUGAGGUAAUUCUUGAGCUAAUACAUGCUAAAAACCCCGACUUCGGGAGGGGUGUAUUUAUUAGAUAAAAAACCAAUGCCCCUCGGGGCUCCUUGGUGAAUCAUAAUAACUUAACGAAUCGCAUGGCCUUGCGCCGGCGAUGGUUCAUUCAAAUUUCUGCCCUAUCAACUUUCGAUGGUAGGAUAGUGGCCUACCAUGGUGGCAACGGGUAACGGGGAAUUAGGGUUCGAUUCCGGAGAGGGAGCCUGAGAAACGGCUACCACAUCCAAGGAAGGCAGCAGG
rnacentral:rRNA from 1 species